UACUACAGCGAGCUCCACGCGUCCCCACCGCCACACUGAUCCGCAGGGUGUUGGAGGAGGGCGCAAGUGGAUUUCAGAGGGGCUUCCUGUUUACCUUCACAGCCCAGUAAAACGAGAGAAGGGGCCGCCAUGCAGUCGCGACCGGACGCAUAGUGAGUUCUUUCCGCGUGCUUUUGCGCACCUGGCUGCUGAAGCGCGCACGCUGCCCGCCGAGCGGUACAUCCGAACUGGAGACCCCUUGGCAUCCACACCGCCGCUACUUGUCCCGUAUAAUCUGAAUUUACAAGCGUCCGAAGGAGAUGUGGAGAGGCUUUCUGACCUCCGCUGCGUCCCGGCUGGAAGGGUACCCGCCGUGUCCCGAUUAGGAUGCCGAACAGGUAAAGGUCCCUGACUUCAGCUUGUCGAUUUCCAGUCGUCCGUCAAGACUUGCACAGUGUCAGGCUUAAGUAUCAGAUUUAUUCUGCACCGCACAGCCCAUCUGUCUGACACAUCUGCAUCAGGAAACAUCCUGCUGGUCUGCAGUUCCUCUGUACAGAAAACAACCACCUGAACUUACUCUGAUACUGAAGUAAAAUUCUGAAUGUGAUGAUUCUGAGACAGUGUCUGUUGAAGUUUGAAGAGUGCAGUUUCUCAAUGAUUUCUAAAUGGAUUUACUGACCUUUAUCCCAGACGGACAUUGGAGGUCCUGGCAGUACCGUAAAGAGUGAAUUCCACUGAUUGUAGCCGUCUGUGUGUUUUAGAUUUGAAUGAUUUAUGACAGUGUCUUAUGUGUCAAUCAGGAGAGCGUUUGGGGGAGCGCGGGUAGCGGUGAGAGGCAAAAACCAAAAAUUCUGAUUUUUUUUUUUUUUGUAUCUGUUCAGAGUGCAUUAUCUCGGCAUAUGCAAAUAAUGGUAUUAGUAUUCGUUUACAACCCUGUUUCAGAUUGAAGUUUAGAAAAUGUGAUUCUACUUUUGUCAGUGUUUUAUUAUUGUAUGGUCUAAACAUGCUCGGUACGUAGACACCAGUAUACAUGCAGAUUUGACUUCUUUUUUUUUUUUCUUUUACGCUGAUCUUAAUGUAGUCUGAUUUGAAUAUACGGAGACUAAAAACAGUGCUAUCAGUCCAAUAGCUGCCUCACUCUUGUUUGCUAAAACCUCCAAAGUCCCAGAAAAAAAUACUGCGGUCACGACCUCAGUGUCCUCAAUAGUAACUACACUGCUGGCACUGACAAAGAACCCAUUUUGUCGUUUAGGUCAUAUUUACUCCCAGUUAGUCCCCUUCGCAAUCUUUCAUCUCAACCUAAAGGCAACUUCCACAUCACCUCAGAAUGACACCCAUGAGUCACAGUCUUUGAGUAUGGAUCUCAUCAGGGGAUAGCAGUAGAUGAGUUCCUGACAGUCUAAUGUGAGCUAUCAGAGGUCACGAUGGCACACACCUAGCAGCAGCCAGGACAGCAUAUUGUCCUAUUCAUCUUAAUGACUCCUGUGGGCAGGGUGGAAGCGGACAUUGAGGAAGGGCCUGAAAAUGCUCUUCAGUGACCUUCUGGGAGUAACAAAUGGAGUGCCUCGUGGCUGGCGGACAAGCCAACCGAGCUCGGCCCGGGAGGCUGCCAACUCCAGUAAAACUGUGAAAAGAAAAGCGAGAAGGAGAGAGUUAGUCUAUCAGUCUGAUUUUUACAGCAGCCUUUCCAGUACAUCAGUCCGGCCGCUCCCUCACGCUUGAGCCAGUUAUUACAUUUCACUCACGUUUGCCUUUGCAGAAGCACUAAUUGAAUGCAUCCAAUAUUCAGGCAAAGGCCCACCUACUGUACCAACAUGACCUUGGUUACCCAUUCCUGUUAACUUUAGCGAGCAGGACACUUCGGUGAAAGUGAGGCCCUGUGGCGCUCUGCGUCAUCGCUCCAGAUUCAUGAUGGUCAACCUGCUCUGUCCAAUUUACAAAGACGUGUUUGGGUGGCUACAACAUGGAUUAAUUUUGGGUUUAGCAAGCAAUUACAGAGGCAGGAGGAGGCAGACACAAAGAGUAGCAGGGUGGCUCUGUGGGAUUGAAAUCAGAGGAUGGUGCAGAAAUUUGUCAGCCGUCUGCGCUGACACCCUUAUCCAAGUCAUCUUCUCGUGGAUGGUGAUAUAUGACUAAGGUGACCGUAAUCAUUAUUCACAGACUGGUCUUCUUUUCCCUGGCAUCCCUUCCUCCUGGGUCUGAUCAAGUGUGUUCUAUUAUCCAGCAGUAAUGAUUUGUGGAGGUCUGUGGCGCUGUUAGCUGAAGGACAGUGUGUUGCGGAGCCUUCCAAAACAAUACCAUAACCCACAUCCAUUAGCCAUAUGGGUUCCAUUCUCCAGAUUUGCUUGAUGCAAUUUCGGUGUCCUCCCACAGCGGAGUCACAGUGCAA